GACGAACGCUGGCGGCGUGCCUAAUACAUGCAAGUUGAGCGAUGAAGAUUGGUGCUUGCACCAAUUUGAAGAGCAGCGAACGGGUGAGUAACGCGUGGGGAAUCCGCCUUUGAGCGGGGGACAACAUUUGGAAACGAAUGCUAAUACCGCAUAACAACUUUAAACAUAAGUUUUAAGUUUGAAAGAUGCAAUUGCAUCACUCAAAGAUGAUCCCGCGUUGUAUUAGCUAGUUGGUGAGGUAAAGGCUCACCAAGGCGAUGAUACAUAGCCGACCUGAGAGGGUGAUCGGCCACAUUGGGACUGAGACACGGCCCAAACUCCUACGGGAGGCAGCAGUAGGGAAUCUUCGGCAAUGGACGAAAGUCUGACCGAGCAACGCCGCGUGAGUGAAGAAGGUUUUCGGAUCGUAAAACUCUGUUGGUAGAGAAGAACGUUGGUGAGAGUGGAAAGCUCAUCAAGUGACGGUAACUACCCAGAGAGGGACGGCUAACUACGUG
rnacentral:rRNA from 1 species